CAGCUGCCUGGUGACGAGUGGGGGGCCUAGUGGCUCCCUAGGGCUCCCAUCACUGAGCUCCAAGCAGAAGCCGACAACCAUCUGCCAUGGAUAUAUUAAGGAAUUCCGGCCUGGAAUGAAGAAUCGGAGAAGCCCAAGCUGGAAGACCAUCCAUAGGGUGCUUUUGGGUGUGUGUGACACUGGACAAGCCUUGGAGACCCCGCUUCUUUGAACAUGCACUGGAAAUAUAAUGGCCCCCUCCCCACGGGAAUGGAGUGAACUCGCGAAUGAGGGAAUGCAGUAUCUCAGCACAACGCCUGGUACCAGAAAGCACCUGUCAUGCUCGCUGUUGAGACUGGGUUAUUUUAACUAUUACUGUCACCCUUCCACUCCCAGAUCUGCUCUGUAACAUCCCUGCCAGGGACCUGGUGGAUGGGACCCCUCGGUAUGUCCCUCAAAAGGGGACUCACUCACUACUGCCCACUUUGGAUAGUGCUGUCUUAAAUUUAUUGUAUAAAAAGUAAUAACAAUAGCUAGUAACUUCUAGUUCCUGUUCCCAGCUCCUCUCCUCAGGGCCUGCCAUAAAAAGAAUUCUCUUCCUCGAGGCAGCCCUCAAAUGCUGAAUGCCAGAUAGAAGCUCCCUGCUAUCUCUGCGAGUCCUCAUGUUUGUACUUUCUCCAUUGUUCCUCUUAGAAAAAUGAAUUCUUGUUCUUUCUCAAUUCUGACUCCUCCUUGAAUAGGAACUAGCUUGUCUUUAUUUCCCUUAAACUGGGCACAUGAACUGAAACCGUAGGCGUGAUUGGGCCUGAGCCCAGCAGAAUAGGAAUGUCUCAGGGUCUCAACUUGGGCUGCACGUUGGAAUCACACGGGAAGCUUUGAAAAAUCCUGAUGCCCAGGCUGGAUCCCAGACCAUUUAUAUCAGUUUCCCUGAGAAUUCGGCAUCAAUGUUUUUUAAAGCUUUUAGAUGAUUCUAACGUGCAGCCAAGACUGAGGAGCACUGUUCCAGGUGCUUGUCCCUGUUAAUGUGGGCUAUAUUACAGUCAAUGUUUUGCUAGUCUCAUUCAUCAAGAUGUUGAGUCGUAUUUAGUCUACUGUUAAGAAAAAUCACAUCUUUUUUUUACUGAGCCAUGGAUCUCCAAGUCUUGAUUGUGUAUUUGAUUUUUUAUACCUCAAGUACAAAUAUUUUACACUGAUGAAACCUUUCCUGGUUAAAUUUAUCUCCUUUGGGCCAGCCCUGGUGACCUAAUGGUUAAG
rnacentral:lncRNA from 1 species